rnacentral:piRNA from 1 species
UAGUUAUGAAUGGAGUCUGUUUUGAGUA